UACGGAGGGUGCGAGCGUUGUCCGGAAUCACUGGGCGUAAAGGGCGCGUAGGCGGCUUGAUAAGUCGGGGGUGAAAUCCUGCGGCUUAACCGCAGGGCUGCCUUCUAAACUGUCAGGCUGGAGCACAGUAGAGGCAGGUGGAAUUCCCGGUGUAGCGGUGGAAUGCGUAGAGAUCGGGAAGAACAUCAGUGGCGAAGGCAGCUCGCUGGAACGGUACUGACGCUGAGGCGCGAAAGCGUGGGGAGCAAACAGG
rnacentral:rRNA from 1 species